rnacentral:lncRNA from 1 species
GCAGGAUAAACUGCUCAGUAUAUUCGCAUAGGUGGUACAAUCCCCACCAAGGAUUCUUGGUCGUGGGUAGAUUCCAAGUUGGUGAAUGACCAGGUGACAGAAAAUAUUUUUAAAACAAAAUUUUUAAAAAUAAGAUAAAAAGGUAUAUGGCAAAAUUGAUGUAAAAAAGCCACUAUUCCUUUAUUAGUACAAUAAAAAAUAUAUAAGGUGCCUAUUUUUGGGUGUAGAGUCCUCAAUGUCCCUAGUGGUCCAACCGUCCCGCUUGUAUGCAAGACAAAAACGAGGAGACCCAAUUUUGCAGUAUAUAAAAGCCAAUAUGGGUAAAAUAAACAAAUAUGUGCAAUCAACUCACAUUUAAAAGAGCUAUAGCCAGCUCUGGUGUGAAGGGCGUACAGGGGUAUAAUCCAGGCUUUAAAGGAUAGGUGAUGGGAAUCCUCCACAGGGAUGGUAUCCAACACCCAGGAGAGGGAUAUAUAAAAGACAGCCAAUAGUGCUCUCAGUAGAAUAAAAUAUGCAGUAAAUAUAAAUAAAAAUGUACUCACAAGUGAAGUGCAGGCAAACUGUACUGUGAUGUCAGCGUUGGUGAUAUGAUCCCCACCUCGGAUAUACUUGGAGUCACACGAAGAUAAAAGGAAGCCAGGAAAAAUUCCAAAUAAAAAAGUGUAUUAAAAAGAUGAUUGGCACAAAAUUGUAACCAAAACGCCUUUUAUUUAAAAAAAUACAAAUUCAAAAUAACCAUAACAUGUUUCACCACAAGGGCUUUAUCAAGUGCGUUAGACCUAUUCAGACGAACUAUUGUACCUUUUAACUAUUAGCGCAGCCUUUUUCCUGUAUUUCUUUGUGUUGCCUUUAAUUAUGCCUUUUCCAUUUGAGGUAAAUCUAAAAACAGCUUUCAAAAGCUACAGAUCUCAUUUGAAGCUUUUGCAAGACGUCCAUUUCUUCCCCAGCCCAGACGUUCUGUGGCUGUCCAAUAAUAGAUUCCCAAUGCAGCUCAAUCAGAAUUCUUUGCAAGGCAGAUGCUCUGAGCAAUUUCUGCCUCUUGAGUUUAGCUCCACGGAACUGACCAAACCAGGAAGUAAUAGGACCGGUUGUCUGAUUGACAGUCAGUGGACUUUAACCAGGUUAAUUUAUAAAAGUGUCAAUUUCUAUUGAAAUCUGCACUUUUUUUUUUAAAUGAAAAAAGAGGACACACUCUUCACACAUAAAGCAUCUCAGCAAGUUAAAGAGCUUCAGAGCUCAGGAGUUUCCUUUAAAGGGAAUCUAUAUUGUUAGGUUGUAUUCCUAACACUACAGUGCUCUCUGGUUCCCCUCUCUCUUGCAGCCCCCCUUGUUGGUACAUAAAAGGUAAAAAAAAAAAGUUAUUUACUUACCCAAUUCUAGCAUCAAUGCCCCUCGGCGCUGGAUUGUGUUCCUCCCCUCCGAUAUAAUCAGACAGGAGGAACCUAAUGCACAUGUGCAGCGAGCGCCACGCACACCUUAGACCUUCCCCAUAGGAGAGCAUUGCCUCAAUGCUUUCCUGUGGGGUUUUCCUUGAUGCUGUAAGGACAUCCAGUGACUUUUCACAAAGUCAAACUCUGUGAAAGUCCUGGAAACUCCUCUAGUGGCUCUCUGGUAAACAGCCACUAGAGGCAGUCUUAGUGCAACAAUGUAAACAUUGCAGUUUUUCAAAAAUAGCAAUGUUUUUCAUUGCACAACUGCGGGGGACAAGGACAUUGCACCAGACCACUUUAAUGAGAUGAAAUGGUCUGGGUGCCUAGUGUCCCUUUAAAUGUAAGGUAGAAGGCCCAUUUUUAUUGAUCUAGUAAUGAUAAAAGUGGUGUUGAAAAGUAUUCUAAAAGUGAGACUGUGAUCAUGUCGACAUUGCUAAUGUCUCAUCGCCAAACUUUGGCAUGUUGAUAAAUAUUCAAUAUGAGAGUUUACUUUGUCUACUGCAAGUCUAUAUAGCCACUUUAUUUAUUAAUUUAUUUACAUACUAAUACCCCAAGACUAUCAAGGUAGAAAUAUUUAAGUUCUAUAAUAUUUGUAAAAUGUGAUGGAGUACACGACAUUUUUUUAAAUUGUAAUUUUCUGUAAGCCUUCUUAAUUAAAUUCAUCUAAUGUCCUAUAGAGGACAUUACAGCACAUCAGCCAGCUUUCUGACUAUUGGAAUAAAGACUUCUCAGGUUGUGGCUUUUGGUGCUAUUUGAUCAGUAUUUUGAGCUGGCGCACAACAUAUCGGUCAGUUGAGAAAAUAUACGAACUAUAACUAAGCUUUCAAUCUUUCGUGACAUAGAAACUUUACUGUCUAAAUUUGUGUCAGUUUUCUACGGUGUCCCAGUGAAUUAGGGCACCAAAGAGGAAUCCUGAGAAGGUUCAGACCAGGUCACACUGAUCCCAUGACAGGUAGCUUCUUUGAUCCCCAGUCUGUUCAGAGGUAUGUCAAAAAUACAUUUUGACAGCAUAUGUGACCGCUUAUAUGAGAAAGUUAAAGAAUAUGAAUGGAUUUGUGUUAUGUUUUAAAAUGUAAGUUUUCCUGUUAUUUUAAAGAUUCACAAAAUAUGUGUAAAAUGUCCAUAAU